GACGAAUGCUGGCGGCGUGCCUAAUACAUGCAAGUUGAGCGAUGAAGAUUGGUGCUUGCACCAAUUUGAAGAGCAGCGAACGGGUGAGUAACGCGUGGGGAAUCUGCCUUUGAGCGGGGGGCAACAUUUGGAAACGAAUGCUAAUACCGCAUAACAACUUUAAACAUAAGUUUUAAGUUUGAAAGAUGCAAUUGCAUCACUCAAAGAUGAUCCCGCGUUGUAUUAGCUAGUUGGUGAGGUAAAGGCUCACCAAGGCGAUGAUACAUAGCCGACCUGAGAGGGGGAUCGGCCACAUUGGGACUGAGACACGGACCAAACUCCUACGGGAGGCAGCAGUAGGGAAUCUUCGGCAAUGGACGAAAGUCUGACCGAGCAACGCCGCGUGAGUGAAGAAGGUUUUCGGAUCGUAAAACUCUGUUGGUAGAGAAGAACGUUGGUGAGAGUGGAAAGCUCAUCAAGUGACGGUAACUACCCAGAAAGGGACGGCUAACUACGUGCCAGCAGCCGCCGUAA
rnacentral:rRNA from 1 species